AUUGAACGCUGGCGGCAGGCCUAACACAUGCAAGUCGAACGAGUGGCGGACGUGUGAGUAAUGUCUGGGAAACUGCCUGAGGGAGGGGGAUAACUACUGGAAACGGUAGCUAAUACCGCAUACCAUCGGAUGUGCCCAGAGGGGAUUAGCUAGUGGGUGGGGUAACGGCUCACAUGGGCGACGAUCCCUAGCUGGUCUGAGAGGAUGACCAGCAAAACUGGAACUAAGACACGGUCCAAAGUCCUACGGGAGGCAGCAGUGGGGAAUAUUGCACAAGGGGCGCAAGCCGGAUGCAGCCAUGCCGCGUGUAUGAAGAAGGCCUUCGGGUUGUAAAGUAUUUUCAGCGGGGAGGCGUUACCCGAAGAAGAAGCACCGGCUAACUCCGUGCCAGCAGCCGCGGUAAUAC
rnacentral:rRNA from 1 species